rnacentral:lncRNA from 1 species
GCAACAUCUCCAACAGCUGCAGCCGCAACACCCACAGCAGCAGCAACAACAUGCACCGCGGCAGUUGAUGGGGUCUGGAACGGGACAAGGCUAUGUCCAAGGUCCAGGGCGUUCACAGUUGAUGCCACAGGGACCCGUUUCAUCACAAGGGCUGCCCAACACUCCUGGCGGGGGAUUCAUGAGCUAAUCUGAGAUUCUGAAGUUCCCCACUUAAACCACAUUGUGCUCUUCAGUCCAUCCCCCGCUUGAGACGAGUCCUACAUUUUUCAUUUUCGCUGGAUAUUAGAA